CGCGGGAUUGCUCAGAUUGAACGCUGGCGGCAGGCCUAACACAUGCAAGUCGAGCGGAAACGAGAAUAGCAUGCUAUUCGGCGUCGAGCGGCGGACGGGUGAGUAAUGCCUGGGAAAUUGCCCUGAUGUGGGGGAUAACCAUUGGAAACGAUGGCUAAUACCGCAUAAUAGCUUCGGCUUAAAGAGGGGGACCUUCGGGCCUCUCGCUUCAGGAUAUGCCCAGGUGGGAUUAGCUAGUUGGUGAGGUAAAGGCUCACCAAGGCGACGAUCCCUAGCUGGUCUGAGAGGAUGAUCAGCCACACUGGAACUGAGACACGGUCCAGACUCCUACGGGAGGCAGCAGUGGGGAAUAUUGCACAAUGGGCGCAAGCCUGGUGCAGCCAUGCCGCGUGUAUGAAGAAGGCCUUCGGGUUGUAAAGUACUUUCAGCAGUGAGGAAGGGUGUGUUGUUAAUAGCUGCAUACUUUGACGUUAGCUGCAGAAGAAGCACCGGCUAACUCCGUGCCAGCAGCCGCGGUAAUACGGAGAGUGCGAGCGUUAAUCGGAAUUACUGGGCGUAAAGCGCAUGCAGGUGGUUUGUUAAGUCAGAUGUGAAAGCCCGGGGCUCAACCUCGGAACCGCAUUUGAAACUGGCAGGCUAGAGUACUGUAGAGGGGGGUAGAAUUUCA
rnacentral:rRNA from 1 species